rnacentral:misc_RNA from 1 species
UUUUAACCAUUAUUAUGGAUGAAAUAAUUGGCUUUUUCAUUUCAGGCCAAAAGUUUUUGAGUAUACAGGAGGGGAAUUUGACGGCAUUGAACAAGGAGGGGAUACAACAACCCAGACUUUAGCUUGUGUGAUGAUCAAGAGCUUAAGUAACAAAUAUGAAGACACUAUUGCAAUGGUACCUUUGACAAAAUUAGAUUGUAAAAUUAUGAGAAGAUUAUUACUAAGUUGUAAAAGUAAUUCAGGAAACAGAAAAUUCUACACUCAAGAGCUUUGCAACAGCACAUUUGAUAUGGAUAUAGUCAACCCUUGUAAUAGUGAAAAAAAGUUAUUUUGCUAUCUGAUUCAGAGCAUAUACAACAACUUAUUGGGAAGAAAGUUUUUAAAAUGCCCUUCGUUUUAUGGUGAAGAAAUUAUUGCUGAAUUUAUCCAUUUAAAAAAGUUCGAGUUUCAUCUAGAGGAAACAAAACCUCGACCUGUGAAGUAUGCACACAAAUUGAAUGACAAAGUUCUUAACCAUAACCCGAUUGAAAAAAAAAAAUAAAUGUCAACCUAGCAGAUGCCUUCUUCCAUGAGAGUACCAUUUAUGGUCUUGAAUUUUAUGCAAAGAAUGGUUACCCUGAAUUCCAAACAACAGCAAACUUUGUUAAGCUUAUUAGGCGCUGGUGGAAUUUAUUCAACUACAUGCCUUUGAAAAAGAAAGAUCCCAAUCGUGAACCAAUAACACCAUUUAAUUUUGAACUAAAGAA